rnacentral:rRNA from 1 species
UCCUACGGGGCGCAGCAGUAGGGAAUCUUCCACAAUGGACGAAAGUCUGAUGGAGCAACGCCGCGUGAGUGAAGAAGGGUUUCGGCUCGUAAAGCUCUGUUGGUAGGGAAGAAAGAUAGAGGUAGUAACUGGCCUUUAUUUGACGGUAAUUACUUAGAAAGUCAAGGCUAAAUACGUGCCAGCAGCCGCGGUAAUACGUAGGGGGCAAGCGUUGUCCGGAUUUAUUGGGAGUAAAGCG